GAUGAACGCUGGCGGCGUGCCUAAUACAUGCCAGUCGAGCGAACAGACGAGGAGCUUGCUCCUCUGACGUUAGCGGCGGACGGGUGAGUAACACGUGGAUAACCUACCUAUAAGACUGGGAUAACUUCGGGAAACCGGAGCUAAUACCGGAUAAUAUAUUGAACCGCAUGGUUCAAUAGUGAAAGACGGUUUUGCUGUCACUUAUAGAUGGAUCCGCGCCGCAUUAGCUAGUUGGUAAGGUAACGGCUUACCAAGGCAACGAUGCGUAGCCGACCUGAGAGGGUGAUCGGCCACACUGGAACUGAGACACGGUCCAGACUCCUAAGGGAGGCAGCAGUAGGGAAUCUUCCGCAAUGGGCGAAAGCUUGACGGAGCAACGCCGCGUGAGUGAUGAAGGUCUUCGGAUCGUAAAACUCUGUUAUUAGGGAAGAACAAAUGUGUAAGUAACUAUGCACGUCUUGACGGUACCUAAUCAGAAAGCCACGGCUAACUACGUG
rnacentral:rRNA from 1 species